rnacentral:rRNA from 1 species
GGGGUGAGUAUCGCGUAGGGAUUUGUCGUUGGGUGGGGGGAGUAAACCUUGGGGAAACUGGGGCUAAUACCGCAUGACGCCUGUGGGCCAAAGCUUGUGAGAGCGCCUGACGAGGAGCCUGCGUCCGAUUAGGUAGUUGGUUGGGUAAUGGCUGACCAAGCCUGCGAUCGGUAGCUGGUCUGAGAGGAUGAUCAGCCACACUGGGACUGAGACACGGCCCAG